GCCCGCCUAGCUCAAUCGGCCAGAGCGUCAGACUUUUACGGACUUCACAAGUUCCAUCAAUCUGAAGGCUGCGAGUUCGACCCUCGCGGUGGGCU
rnacentral:tRNA from 1 species